rnacentral:rRNA from 1 species
GACGUAGGGCGCGAGCGUUGUCCGGAUUUAUUGGGCGUAAAGAGCUCGUAGGCGGCUCGUCGCGUCGACCGUGAAAACUUGGGGCUCAACCCCAAGCCUGCGGUCGAUACGGGCAGGCUCGAGUUCGGUAGGGGAGACUGGAAUUCCUGGUGUAGCGGUGAAAUGCGCAGAUAUCAGGAGGAACACCGAUGGCGAAGGCAGGUCUCUGGGCCGAUACUGACGCUGAGGAGCGAAAGCGUGGGGAGCGAACAGG